rnacentral:tRNA from 1 species
GCCCCGCUAGCUCAGUUGGUAGAGCAGCUCCCUUUUAAGGAGACGGUCGAAGGUUCAAGUCCUUCGCGGGGCA